rnacentral:lncRNA from 1 species
CUAGCUUGUUAGCUCAUGGUUAGCUAGUUAGCAACAUUAGCCUGGAUAGAUUAGCAGUCUAUUUGUCUAGCCAUUUAAAUGCAUGAGUUUAGAUUUCUUUGGCUUUUAUUAACCAACAGUCUAGCUUGCUAGUGAACUAGCUAGCUAACUUAGAUCGUGAGAUGCUAGGGCUAGGCGUUCUUGAUAAUGUUUGUUUGUGUCUGUGGGUGAGGGGUGGGUUUCCUACUUCAAGUAGUACUUGACUUGUAGCUACCCUAGCUAGAUGGGAUAUUUUAGUCUGGCUUUUUGAAAGGUUUUGGAGAUGGACUGAUUAGCAUCCUCUCGAGUCUUUACAGCGGGAAAACAUUGAUAUGUUUACUGUUAUCCUCUGGACAGCAGAUCAUUAGUAUAGCUAGUAGGCGGGGUGGGGGGUAUUGAUAUAUAAUUCAUGCUCCACUCAAGUUGAACUUGUUGACUGAGGCCACUGAGGCGGCUGCUAAGAAGGGAGCAGCGGCGAACCAGAAGACCUCAGCCAAGGCAGCACUGGUCCACACCUGCCCUGUCUGUCAGUAUAUAUGCAGACCCGAAGAAAUGUAAGCAGCACUUCGAAAGCAAGCAUUACAAGUCUCAAAUGGUCCCAGUACUGGUUGAUGUGAAGGCCUACGUGGCCACACACACUCAAAUGGACCUACAGCUGGGGUAAGAUUCUUCCAUCAUUCACACACAGUAGACAUAGUGUAAACCACCAUGUUGUCAUCAAAAUGCUGUCCUCAAUGCUAUUGUUUAUGGCUCAAUUUGUGGAAAUGCUGUGAUCACUCAUCGUCUUUAAUGUCACACAAUGACCACGAUUUGAAUGCUGCAACUGAGACGGAAUGACGUCGAGGGACACACUCCGAGUCCCCGAGUAUGACUGGACAUGGGUAACAACAACCUAAACGUUGUGUAGAAGCACACCAACACCACAUGUUAUGUUUAUUCCAUGGCCAACCAUCCCUCUAGCUACCCCUUAUUCCACACUAUGCCUUUCAUGCCCCAUGGUCCCUCAACUUCAGACCCUUUGGAACUCUCCAUCUUAUCGCUGUAAACCCACCCUACGUUCACCCAAUUUCCCUAUGCUGCUUCCUUCACUUGUUCUUCUCCUGAAUUUGUGUUGUGAUGUACUGUUUUUGCUACCUUCCUUUCACCUGUGUAAAUUCUGUCCUCCUGCUCAUCCUGGGGUUCAGACUGAAUGCAGUGGUAAAGGUGCUGCCCACAAUUGAUAGCAGCAACAUGGACCUGUUACAUUUACCAGAAGGGUGUUGAUAUAGCUGUGUUUAGGCAUGGCUUCAUG